CAUAUGGGAGUGCAAAUGGAUUUUUUCUGCGGUGGAGGCGUUGUGUUCGCAGCUUCACAUCUGCAAA
rnacentral:ribozyme from 1 species